rnacentral:lncRNA from 1 species
GUGGAGAGUCAAGAGGAAAGAUGAGUGACUCCAGGAAACGACCCCUGGAAGAAGGGAUAGCUGCAUCAGAGAAGAGGAAACAAAAAGUGACUCAGCCACAGAGACUUCAUUAUGGCCUUUAUAAUCAAGGAAACACAUGUCACCUCAACAGUGUCCUGCAAGUUCUCUUCAUGACCACAGAUUUCCACGACAGGUUGGAUCCACAAAAGACCACAGACAAGGAGCUGAGGAACAUCUUUAAAAAACUGAAAGAAACAACAUGUGGAACGGAAAACAUCACAAAGGCUUUUGAUAUUAAAAAUGUUAAUCAACAAAGUGAUGCUGCUGAAAGCCUGCAGUUUAUCUUACAGAAGGUCAGCCCACGGGCCUCUAAGGUGAGCACUUAG